GUAAUAUUUUUUAUGGUUUCGGUGCGUGUGUCAGAUGGGUCCAGGAGGUGUGCAUUCGUCUCAUCUCGUAAUGUUCGUAGCAGAUCCAUGUGUUCUUUGGUGUGCUGUCGCUUGAGGAAGGAUGCCCGGCUGAUUAAGUAACUUCUCAUGACCGCUUUGUGGGCCUGCCAGACGGAGGUAGUGGAGGCCCCGGAUUCUGCAUUGUUGUGGAAGUAGUCUUGCAGGUGUUGCGUUAGCUUUGCUUUGAAUGGAG